GUCGCACAGAAGGGAAAAAAAAACAAAAAUGAAGCGGCCAUGUUUAAGAAGUGACGCGUAGGCAUUAGUUCGAGUCUAACGGCCAUUAUUGAUCGCAAGUGGGAAUCAGUUUAGUGCAAUGUGUUGUUCUUUGAAUAUAAUAUUAGUCUGUUGUAAGGACAAUUUCAACGAGAAUGGUUUAGUUAAAGCAGAAAUAAAACGUCAGCGUAAACAAGAAAUAUCGACAUUAGUAGGACGAACCAAUGCAAGUGGGAAAAAUCGUGUUUUCACUGAACCGAACGGAGGGAACAAACAUAGACAAAUUUCAGGUUGUAUGGAAAACAGAAGUAAGAGCCCUAGUACUAUUUCCAGUCCAAGCAAAUUUGAAGUUUUACGUUUAUCACGGAAUGACUACUCAGCUGCCCCACUGAACAACAACCACGACAGUCACAUGUGAACCUGUGACAGAACGACAUUGGGACCCUUGAAAUCUGCUGUUCCCACUGUGACAGAAGAAGCUCGCAUUAAAACCACAGUUCUGCUUGCCAAUGAGACUUCGAGAGCCUGGAUGGUCCUCAUGGUGACGUGGAAGUCUUCUGCUUCUGGGACUGCGUGGCACAUACAACCGAGCGAUCGACUAUGUACCUGGAGAGUCAGAAUCACAUGCAGAAGACUGCGACAGCAUGUCCUGAAUAUAAAUUGCGUCUGUUUCACUCAUUUCCUCCAAAUACUACCAAAAUAUCCGUGCAUAAUCAUCCUAAUAUUCAAAGUUAACUAAGACAGAAAUUAUCCUGCCUUGUAUUUGGAAAACACCGAAUUUGAGGCACUGUCUGCCCUGGUUAAGACUUUUUGUGAUUUUCCUUAGUCUCGUUAGACUAAUAUUAACACUAAAUCGACAAAAAAGGUAAGAAAUAUGUCUUCUUAAUUCCUUCUAGUCAACUACAUUUAACCAUAGUCUAAUCUCAUUCAAUGCUAAGUAUCAUCAUCAGUUGAUAAAAUGUCAUUGAAGGAGUAACGAACCAAGCCCACCUAAUACUUAUAGUCUCCAUGAUGCUAUCGGAGAAAUUCGUUCGAUUGUGGUACAAACAAGUGAAAAUUCAUCUGUACUUAAUACAAAUAGCUCGCUGGAAUGUCAAGUUCAAAAUAUCUGACGGAGGUGAAAUUUCAAAAUUGAAGUCGAGAAAAGCAGCAAAAUAAAAGUCAAAAGCAACUACAAUUAAGUACGUUCUAUAACGCGUAAACCAUGUCAUGUAUUAUGACAGUAAUUCAAUCAUUAACAGUCUUACACAACAAACCUUUAUUUAAGAAAAUAAUCGGCCUUUAGUGGCCUAUGCAGGAAUAUCUAUUUAAUUUAAAGAAGCCAGUUUACGUUCAAACAUCCAAUAUUAUUGUUGUAUGCGUUUGUGGCAGAUACAAUGUGCAGUCCCAAUUUAUCUUCUUUUUAAAAAUGUUAUUUUAACCCUACAAUUUUUGUAGCUUGUUUCUGCAAUAUUACUGGAAAUAUAAAUGAACUGCGCGUUCCGUCUGAAUACGACGAGGUUAGGAAAGAGGGAAAACGUUCAGAAAUCGUUAUGUUGCCACUCCACGUAUUCCGCUACUUGAAAUUACUGUUUCAUGAAAGUCUUCGGACUCAGGACCUAUUUCAAAGCCUUCGUCCGGUCAUUUUACCCACACAGUCUCCCUCCUUUCGUGCCAGUGAUCUCCGAGAAAAUAUUCCCAACGUUACUCCUCUGGCCUUUCAAAAUCGGUAACAGUGUAAAACGCAGCGCAUGACCGCCGUUCACCAGAAGAGUGUGGAGGAACUUCGAUUAGGAGCAGAGCAAGUAGUAGAGUUAUGGCGAAGGCGAAGGCGAAGGGUUACUUCUGCUGCCUUGGAACGGCCACGGGGUGGAAUGGCGAGUGUAAACUUUGACCAAGGAGUUCAGGGCGGCGAAGGGCUGGGGGAGGGGGGGAAGAACAAGAUGCAGGGGUUGAGGAAGAACAGGACGAGUUCCGGCCAAGAGAGGUCUACGAACAGAGAUGUUUAGUUAUAGUCUGCUAGCUUGGGUGAAGUGGUUAGUACACUCCAGCUGAACAACUAAACCUUCUUAACUUCCAAGAAGUAGCCUAAAAACAACAAUAUAAGUUCAAUAGUUAGUGUGUUCUCACACUUGUAUGAAAUGAUGGUCCGUUUUGUCAUUUGGACUAUAUCAUGUAACAUAUUUUGAAUCUCAUAUUAUAAAUGUGGAUUCCGGAGCAAUAGAUCAGUUGCUGAUCAAAUAUUUUUGUAUUUUCGUUACACCAGGUAUUUAUGUAUUAAAAAGCUUGUGGUUCAUCUACGAAAUAAAUACUGUAAAGUAAUUUAAUUGGAUUUAGAACGUCAAAGAAACUUGUAACCUAUUCAACAAAGUGUGAACUUAUAGCUAUCAAAUAGAGUUCGGUAAAUACUUAUCUGGUAAUUUUCUAGUUCUAAUUUAUGUCUUCCCAGAUAUUUGAGCUUUGAUAAAUUUCGAAGUAUUCGCUAGAUAUCCUUUGCACUAGUUUCAGGUGGAUAUAAAAAAAUUAUGGAUAUGUGGGCACGUCCCGAUCAUUUCAUUUCUUCAUUUUCAUACAAUUUCAUGUAAUCCCCAUUAAAAGAUUUGUUUUAUAUUCCGAGGCGGAAUAAAUAACAGUCAGUCAGUAGCGUUAAUAUUGUUUUUGGUAACAUUUGCUGCGCGAAAUGUAUGAAUAAUUAACACAGACAUUCUACCCCUCUGCUCCAAGGUCAUCCGAGUGGAAAUCCUGUAGAAAUUAUUCAUAAGCUUCCCCUGUAAAUACAUCAAGGCAGUCCCCGUUACCUAUAAUGCACGCUCCUUGUAUCUAAUCGAUGAAGACCUGGGUUCAUGCCCCAUCCUCAUAUCAAACGUUGAAGUGUAACUAUUUAAUUCAGAUGACUGCCGUUAUACACACUGGUUGCGGGUGCCUUGAUACUUUGCAUGUGUUUGAAGAAAACAAAAUUUGAAGGUACAAUAGCAUAAUGAACGAAUCUGUUUACAUAAAUUUCGUCAAUUGCUAACUCCAAAUUUUAGGUCUGUGUUAUGUGUAUCAGAAGUUGGGCAACACAUAUUUAUCUUAUAGAGUGGUAUUAACUGCUGUUGUAAAGAUUUAGCCUGCGUAGACAAGCCACUUAAAGUUCAUGCCCAAAGAGAAGUAAUUUAAGAAUAUAUCACUGUAUAAAAUUUGCAUAUUUUCAUUUUUCAAGAAAGCAAUUCACGGAGUGCCAAAACUUGGAAGACACUGCUUUAGAAAAGUACCAAAAUCCCCAUUUUAAACAAUUCUUCCAAGUGAAUUUGUGUCUUAGUGUGAGAUGCCAAGAUUAAUAAACAUACAAGGAACAUAAAAUUUAUAUAUUCCGUUUAUUUUAAUGUUUACGUCAAGUCAAUAUUCAGAAAACGAGAGUUGCACAAAAUCUACAUUUGUUUUCUAAGAACUAUUACCAUACAACAUGUAAUGAUCGCGCAGUAAUUAUCGCGAAUGGCGCUUGCACCUCAGAUGUUUGCACGGGCAUUGAGUCAUUCUUAUUGAUGAUAGAAAAGUAAAAAUUACAGAGGCGGGUUUUUCUCUUACAUUUCUCGACUCUUUUAACUCUGUCCAGAUGUUUAAUUAACAGAACCGGUUUUUACUGGCAGUGUUGGAAAAUGGUGCGUGAAUCCAUAAUUUGUUUAAAAGUCGUCCACACGGUAUAGAAAUUGUUCUUAAGAUUUUAUAUCGAGGUCGGAGUCGGAGUCGGUAUAUUUUUACCGACUCCGACUUCCUACCCCAUGUAGUACGCGAACCACGAUUUGUUAAUCAUUACUUUGGCGGAGGGGUUCUUUUUUACAUAGCGAUUAGAAACUGGUCUGACUUCUUAAGAGUAUGCGUUUCGCAAUGAGAGUGCUUUCAGUUCGUUACCAUAGAAACAACCUUACAAGGAAGUCUGUUGCUACGGACAGCUGGACGUUCAUAAGCAUUAAGACACAAGUUGGAUUGGAAUUCUAAUGGAAUGUAUACAGCUUGGCUGUAGGAGAGUUUCUGAAACUAAAUUAUAAAAAUAUUUCAGGAGAGGGAAUGGAUUAGAGACGCAGUUCAGCGUCGCCUUGAUUAUGAAAGAGAAUUCAAGGCAUGUACCACUUAUAGAAACAUCUACAGAACUUCUCCAAUAUAAACGUUUUAAUCAGUAGUAAGUAAUGAAUCCCUUCGGAUUUCAACGUAAUUAAUUUCGUAUGCCAAGAACUUUGUAGCUGCUUCUCACAGACUGCGUUAGGAACAAGCCUACGUAAUUUAAACGCACGCUCAUUACAUUCACAUGCUUAUUAGAUACUACGGGUAUGACGACCCGGGUUGGACUCCCGAUAAUGGCAUGCAUUUCUCUAUUUGACGUGAUAUUCGGUCAUAUCUAAAGCCCAGUCAUUUUGUUACGUGUUGGUGAAAUGAAGUUUUGUCACUCCUACUUGUGAUUUUAUAAAUCCCGGGUUCGAAUCUCGGCCCAGAUAGAAAUCAUUUUCACUGAGAUUUUUCUGGAUUUUCUUAGUCCCUCCAGGCAGCUGUUGGGCCAAUACUUUAGUUGUUGGAAUGAAAAAGCCAAAGCUGCUGAUUGGUUUGGCGCUGGGAAACAGGAGGUAGCUCGGUUCACAGCAAUGCGAUGUUCUCUAGCUACAAUAUCCCAUUGCGACGUAAUCCAGUCCUGUUCACAAUUUUUUCUCCAAAUAAAAAUAUUUUGGGAAGUGCACAGCGUAUUGCAGACAGACGUGGGGAACUGUAUAAAGUAUAUUCUUACAAUGUGUACUAAACGUUCAACUAUGACUCUUUAAAAUACUGAAUUUCAAAUAAAUACAUAGGCUUUCAUACAAUAUAUUCACUUUCUCUAAAAGCCCCGUUUCCCACAACCCUUUUGAUAUAAAGGUUCAUCUAAAUAGUAAAAGC